UACGUAGGUGACAAGCGUUGUCCGGAUUUACUGGGCGUAAAGAGCGCGCAGGCGGUCGAUCAAGUCGAGUGUGAAAGCCCCCGGCUCAACUGGGGAGGGUCACGCGAUACUGAUCGACUCGAAGGCAGGAGAGGGAAGUGGAAUUCCCGGUGUAGUGGUGAAAUGCGUAGAUAGUCGGGAGGAACACCAGUGGCGAAGGCGGACUUCCUGGCCUGUUCUUGACGCUGAGGCGCGAAAGCUAGGGGAGCAAACGGG
rnacentral:rRNA from 1 species